UGGGGAAUAUUGCACAAUGGGCGCAAGCCUGAUGCAGCCAUGCCGCGUGUGUGAAGAAGGCCUUCGGGUUGUAAAGCACUUUCAGCGGGGAGGAAGGCGGUGAGGUUAAUAACCUCACCGAUUGACGUUACCCGCAGAAGAAGCACCGACUAACUCCGUGCCAGCAGCCGCGGUAAUACGGAGGGUGCAAGCGUUAAUCGGAAUUACUGGGCGUAAAGCGCACGCAGGCGGUCUGUCAAGUCGGAUGUGAAAUCCCCGGGCUCAACCUGGGAACUGCAUUCGAAACUGGCAGGCUAGAGUCUUGUAGAGGGGGGUAGAAUUCCAGGUGUAGCGGUGAAAUGCGUAGAGAUCUGGAGGAAUACCGGUGGCGAAGGCGGCCCCCUGGACAAAGACUGACGCUCAGGUGCGAAAGCGUGGGGAGCAAACAGG
rnacentral:rRNA from 1 species